rnacentral:rRNA from 1 species
GGGGACAACGUUCCGAAAGGAGCGCUAAUACCGCAUACGUCCUACGGGAGAAAGCAGGGGACCUUCGGGCCUUGCGCUAAUAGAUGAGCCUAAGUCGGAUUAGCUAGUUGGUAGGGUAAAGGCCUACCAAGGCGACGAUCUGUAGCGGGUCUGAGAGGAUGAUCCGCCACACUGGGACAGAGACACGGCCCAGACUCCUACGGGAGGCAGCAGUGGGGAAUAUUGGACAAUGGGGGGAACCCUGAUCCAGCCAUGCCGCGUGUGUGAAGAAGGCCUUUUGGUUGUAAAGCACUUUAAGCGAGGAGGAGGCUACCUAGAUUAAUACUUUAGGAUAGUGGACGUUACUCGCAGAAUAAGCACCGGCUAACUCUGUGCCAGCAGCCGCGGUAAUACAGAGGGUGCGAGCGUUAAUCGGAUUUACUGGGCGUAAAGCGUGCGUAGGCGGCCAAUUAAGUCAAAUGUGAAAUCCCCGAGCUUAACUUGGGAAUUGCAUUCGAUACUGGUUGGCUAGAGUAUGGGAGAGGAUGGUAGAAUUCCAGGUGUAGCGGU